rnacentral:rRNA from 1 species
GUCUAUAGCCACACCACGCAGCAGACGCCCGAUCUUGUGACCACAGAAGCUAAGCAGGGUUGGGCCUGUUUAGGGCUUGGAUGGGAGAGAGGAAGAGAGAGGCUGGGUGCACC